rnacentral:rRNA from 1 species
UACGAAGGGUGCAAGCGUUACUCGGAAUUACUGGGCGUAAAGCGUGCGUAGGUGGUUCGUUAAGUCUGAUGUGAAAGCCCUGGGCUCAACCUGGGAAUGGCAUUGGAAACUGGCGACCUAGAGUGCGGUAGAGGGUAGUGGAAUUCCCGGUGUAGCAGUGAAAUGCGUAGAGAUCGGGAGGAACAUCUGUGGCGAAGGCGACUGCCUGGACCAGCACUG